GUUCUAAUGUGCAGGGGCUUGGCCUGACCAGUCCUACCCUGGAACCUUUCCAGGCCCCAUGUCCUGCUCCGCUGGGCUUGCCUGUUGGGAUUCUACUGGGGUCAUGGAGGUGGGUGGCCCACAGAGCGGAGCUCGGGAGACCCCCGCAGUCCCUGGAGUAGCCACAUGGGAGGGAGGCCCGGCUGGCAGGAGCUCCCAGUCCCUCCAAUCCUGUGGGUCAGAGCUGGUGAGGAUGCUCAGAGGGCAAGGGAAUGUCCACAGAAGCACGUGGGAGAUGGGUCCCAUCCCACCCCCACCCCUGUCUCUGAGGGCAGGGCCACCUGAGGGCUGCAGGGCAGCGCAUGGGUGGCCGGCGUUUAUUCAGCAGGCUGGCGGGGGCUUCCAAGUUUUGCAGGGACCUCCAGUACUCCGGCAGCCUGCACCCUUCCUUUCCCUUCCCUUCCCUUCUGUCCACCCUAAGCCUCCUAGGGGACAGGCAGGCUGGACUUCAGAAAAGGUGGGCUCUGCCCUCCUCCGGUCCCCCGAAUGUCUUGGGAAAGAGUCCACCAAACACACAUGCACACACCCGCGCACACGCACAUACCCAAUGCAUGCACACACGUACACACACACGCAUACACGCAUGUAUACACGCGCACACACGCAGGCAUUACACACACACACAUUACACACACACACCCGCACGGACGCGCACACACAAACGCGCGCACGCACGCACGCACGCACGGGGGAGGUCAGCCCCAAGCAGGGCUGGGGAGGGGUGCAGGGCGCGGCGUGUCUGUGGGCACUUGGGGCGUCGAGACGCCGCCGGGAGGUUUUCGGGCAAGUCUGCGAGAAGACGGCGGGCCCUGAACUGGGCGGGUACCCGCGCUGUUGCGCGUGGGUCCCGGGAGCGGCCUCCGGCGCCCUCUGGCGGGCGGAAGCCGCGCAGCACCUCUUGGGGGCGGGACGCGCGGUGGCUACCGACUCCCGGCCCGCCCCGGCCCGCGUGCAGGACCCGGUCGUCCCCUCCUGCUGUCCUGGAGCCCGGACUGAGGCCCCGGGGGCGCGGCAGGGCUCCCGGUCCACGCGAGCCAUGGCCCGACCGCGCCUCGGCUCAGCCCUGCCCUCCGCAGCCGCUUUCGGGUGGCUCCGCCCGCGGCCCAAUUUCCAGGCGACCGUUUCCCGGCGACGGCGGGCGGGGCCGUCUCUGCCGCCCCCCGCCGCGCGCUCCGCGGGCGCCUGCGACGCCCCGCCUCUGGCUCGGGUGCGGGAGCGGGGCCUGCCCGGACUGCGACGCCGCCACAGCUUGGGGCCAGUUCGCCCAGUCAGGGGGAUGGCUCGGUCGGCCUCGGGGGUCGACGAUCCCCCGGGUAGGCGACGUGCCCUGUCCAGGCCUCACUUCCCGCGUCCGCAAAACGGGGUGGACAACGCAGCCUAAGGCAGAGCCGCGCCAAGGUCCCUCGCUGUCGCCGGGCUCUGGCGGCCUGACCGGGCCUGGGGUCCGAGCGUGCCCCCGGGCCUGGGGGGGUCGCCGCGAUGGACUCGCUGGCAGCGCCCCAGGACCGCCUGGUGGAGCAGCUGCUGUCGCCGCGGACCCAGGCCCAGAGGCGGCUCAAGGACAUUGACAAGCAGUACGUGGGCUUCGCCACACUGCCCAACCAGGUGCACCGCAAGUCGGUGAAGAAAGGCUUUGACUUCACACUCAUGGUGGCUGGUGAGUCAGGCCUGGGGAAGUCCACACUGGUCCACAGCCUCUUCCUGACAGACUUGUACAAGGACCGGAAGCUGCUCAGUGCUGAGGAGCGCAUCAGCCAGACGGUAGAGAUUCUAAAACACACGGUGGACAUUGAGGAGAAGGGAGUCAAGCUGAAGCUCACCAUCGUGGACACGCCGGGAUUCGGGGACGCUGUCAACAACACCGAGUGCUGGAAGCCCAUCACCGACUAUGUGGACCAGCAGUUUGAGCAGUACUUCCGUGAUGAGAGCGGCCUCAACCGAAAGAACAUCCAAGACAACCGAGUGCACUGCUGCCUAUACUUCAUCUCCCCCUUCGGGCAUGGGCUGCGGCCAGUGGAUGUGGGUUUCAUGAAGGCAUUGCAUGAGAAGGUCAACAUCGUGCCUCUCAUCGCCAAAGCUGACUGUCUUGUCCCCAGUGAGAUCCGGAAGCUGAAGGAGCGGAUCCGGGAGGAGAUUGACAAGUUUGGGAUCCAUGUAUACCAGUUCCCUGAGUGUGACUCGGACGAGGAUGAGGACUUCAAGCAGCAGGACCGGGAACUGAAGGAGAGCGCGCCCUUCGCCGUUAUAGGCAGCAACACGGUGGUGGAGGCCAAGGGGCAGCGGGUCCGGGGCCGACUGUACCCCUGGGGGAUCGUGGAGGUGGAGAACCAGGCGCAUUGCGACUUCGUGAAGCUGCGCAACAUGCUCAUCCGCACGCAUAUGCACGACCUCAAGGACGUGACGUGCGACGUGCACUACGAGAACUACCGCGCGCACUGCAUCCAGCAGAUGACCAGCAAACUGACCCAGGACAGCCGCAUGGAGAGCCCCAUCCCGAUCCUGCCGCUGCCCACCCCGGACGCCGAGACUGAGAAGCUUAUCAGGAUGAAGGAUGAGGAACUGAGGCGCAUGCAGGAGAUGCUGCAGAGGAUGAAGCAGCAGAUGCAGGACCAGUGACGCUCGCCGCGGACACACCGUCCGUCUCCGGGACGCCCUCGCACCCCUGGACACCAGACCGGACUGUUCCCGACCCGGAGACGCGGGGCCACAGCCCCCAGCUGACCCUAAUUUAUUCUCAGCACCACCCCCUCCCAGGUCAUUGUGUCUGUUUCCGAGGGGCCUGGACCGUAGCCCCCGCCCAGCUGGCCCUCUCUGACCUUGGGGGAUCAGGAGCGAAGUUGGGCGGGACUUCAGAGAUCCGCCUCCCUUGCCCUUCCCCCGCCCCCGGACGGUCACAGCACCCAAACCGCAGGCCCUGCUCUGGCAGGCAGGCAAAGCUAGGCAGAAGAGGAUUCCCAGGAUCCUGGGUCUGUUCCCUGCCCCAGUGCUGCAGAACGGACUUGGGAGCCCUCCUUUGCCUGCUCCCGCGGGUCACCCAGCGAGUGCUGAGACCCCAUUUUCUGUCGAGGCGGGCCGAGUCUUCCCUUAUCCCCAGACGCCUAGCGGGCAGGGUUGGGCUGAAUCAAAUGGGAGCCCUCCAGACAUAAGGAGGCCAGAGGCUGCAAGGAGCGGGGUCGUGACCGCUUACACCCCUUCUCCACAGCCCGGCCCGACCUGGAGGGCCCCCGGGGCACUGGGCGGUGAGCCACCUCCUGGCAACUCUCGGUGCCGUCCCCUGCCCUCGCUCGAGGCCUCUUCUCCCCAGCACCGCUGUGGUGUGCCGGGAUCCUGAGCCUAGGCCUCCCGAUGUUCCCACCCGCAUGAUCCCUUCCCGCCACACGAUGCUCCGUUUUCUUCCGUUGUGAAUGCCGCGUCCUGUCCUGGUGACAGGAGAACAAUGUUGGUGAACGUCGCAGCGGGUGUCCGAGUGCUCCGUGUGCCCCUGAGAGCGGGUGGGAGCGGAAGCCUGAGCGGCCUGCGGCCUCCGGCGAUAGUGUGCUAUCUGCCGCUGCAGCGCGCGUCCGCGCGGCCUCUGGGCUAUUUCUGGCCAGGCCGCAGCACUGUGGUCGGUGCGGGCGUGGCAGGGGCGGGGCGGCCUUAUCGCUCGGCUCUCCCGCCUACGCCUCCCGCUGCAGAGUAAGCCGGGCUGCCGUCUUCUCGCCAUGGGCUCCGGGCCGCGCGGGGCGCUGAGCUUACUGCUCCUGCUGCUGGCCCCGCCGAGCCGCCCGGCCGCAGGUUGCCCGGCGCCCUGUAGCUGCGCGGGGACGCUCGUGGACUGCGGGCGCCGCGGGCUGACUUGGGCCUCGCUGCCGACCGCCUUCCCUGUCGACACAACCGAGCUGGUGCUGACCGGCAACAACCUGACGGCGCUGCCGCCGGGGCUGCUGGACGCGCUGCCCGCGCUGCGCACCGCACACCUGGGCGCCAACCCCUGGCGCUGCGACUGCCGCCUUGUGCCGCUGCGCGCCUGGCUGGCCGGCCGCCCCGAGCGUGCGCCCUACCGCGACCUGCGUUGCGUGGCGCCCCCAGCGCUGCGCGGCCGCCUGCUGCCCUAUCUGGCCGAGGACGAGCUGCGCGCCGCUUGCGCUCCCGGCCCGCUCUGCUGGGGGGCGCUGGCGGCGCAGCUUGCGCUGCUGGGCCUUGGGCUGCUGCACGCGUUGCUGCUGGUGCUGCUGCUGUGCCGCCUGCGGAGGCUGCGGGCCCGGGCCCGCGCUCGCGCCGCAGCCCGGCUGUCGCUGACCGACCCGCUGGUGGCCGAGCGAGCCGGAACCGACGAGUCCUGAGGAGAGAACCGGUGCGUCCUGAGGAGAGAACCGGCGCUGGGCAACACGGGCCUGCAAACUCGACAGGACCCUGCCCGAGGGGCCCUCGCGCCAACCUGGACCGGUCCCCGCCUCCUCCGCUGCCCAAUCUCUCAGACCCACCCCACCUGCAGGCCCAGACCACGUGGGACAGAACUCCUGCCCACCCUACCCCGAGGGAGGCGAACCCGCACUUCCAGGCUUGGGAGGACCAUGGGGCACAAUGCGGUCCAGACCCUGCUGCGUCUCCCUUCCAAACUCUGGUGCUGAAUAAACCCUUCUGAUCUGGUCU